rfam:Schistosoma haematobium scaffold1552_3, whole genome shotgun sequence.
AUCCAGCUGACGAGUCCCAAAUAGGACGAAACGUGCAUCCUGGGAU